UAAAAGAAGCGCUUGGUCCUACACUGCCAU
rnacentral:piRNA from 1 species